AAACCAGCACCUCAAGUGGUCAGGAUGAUUAUGGGGCCUAAAGCAUCCGUAGCCGGCUCUGUAAGUUUUCGGUUAAAUCUGUACGCUCAACGUACAGGCUGCCGGGAAUACUGCAGAGCUAGGGAGUGGGAGAGGUAGACGGUACUCGGGAGGAAGUGGUAAAAUGCUUUGAUCUCUCGAUGACCACCUGUGGCGAAGGCGGUCUACCAGAACACGUCCGACGGUGAGGGAUGAAAGCUGGGGGGGCAAACCGGAUUAGAAACCCCAGUAGUCC
rnacentral:rRNA from 1 species